rnacentral:rRNA from 1 species
GACGAACGCUGGCGGCGUGCUUAACACAUGCAAGUCGAACGGAAAGGCCCCUUUGGGGGUCCUCGUGUGGCGAACGGGUGAGUAACACGUGAGUAACCUGCCCUUUCCUUCUGUAUAACUUCAGGAACCUGGGGCUAAUACCGGUUAGGAAUCCUUCCUGCAUGGUGGGGGUUGGAAAGCUUCUGCGGUUUUGGAUGGAUUCGCGGCUUAUCAGCUUGUUGGUGGGGUAGUGGCUUACCAAGGCUUUGACGGGUAGCCGGCCUGAGAGGGCGACCGGCCACAUUGGGACUGAGAGACGGCCCAGAAUCCUACGGGAGGCAGCAGUGGGGAAGAGUGAACAAUGGGCGGAAGCCUGAUGCAGCAGGGCCGCGGGCGGGAUGACGGCCUUGGGGUUGUAGACCGCGUUCAGCAGGGGCGAAGCUUGUGGUGACGGUACCUGCAGAAGAAGCACCGGCUAACUACGUG